rnacentral:lncRNA from 1 species
AGUGGGGCGGCGAGGGAGGCGCCGGGCGGCGGUCCCAGGACCCGCGCGGGCGAGAGGUGGAGGGGCCCGGGCGGCCCCCGAUCCGGCGCGGGCGGCGGGCUGGGGCGAUGGCUGCGUGGAAGCGCGGGCGCGGGCGCGGGCGUGGGCGGUGGGCGGUGGGCGGCAGGGCUGGGGCGAAUCCACCCCUUCCAGCGAGGAGGCCCGGUCUAGGAGGAUGGAAGCCCGGGACGCGCCCGCCCGCAGAACACCGUGCUAAGAUCAACUACAGGCUUUGGGAAUUUAAAUAAAGGAAGAGGAAAGAGAUAGAAUGUUUUGGGACAAAAGGGACAAAAGCAUGUGUGGGAAGGUAAGUGCUGAGGACAGCCAGCAGCAAUAGGGGGUCAUCUCCCCUGGGGAGAGCUGAAGGAAUGAACAGAGGGGAGAGAAACUUGGCUAUCCAGACCCUGGAUGGAGCUGCCACCCCAUGCCCCUGAGAGUUAUCCGCGGGCACCCCUUCCAGAACCUCAGGCAUCACCUUGCAUCCCUCGGGGAAUGGAUCCAUUAGAGAAUCGAUCCUGCCACUGCUGUUUCUACCGUUCCCUCACACUCUGUCUGAAAAGGCGCCACCUUCAGCCCAUACUUCGCAGGGCUUUGAUUCCAAAGGUAGGGGACCUAACAUCAGAUAUAGGAGUUUGGUAAUUUAAAUAAAGCAAAACUUUGCCCCAUUGUUUUAUUUUAUUUCUAUUUUUUAUUUUUUCGAGACUGAGUCUCACUCUGUCACCCAGGCUGGAGUGCAGUGUUGUGAUCUCAGCUCACUGCAACCUCCACCACCCAGGUUCACGCAAUUCUCCUGCCUCAGCCUCCUGAAUACCUGGGAUUGCAGGCACACACCACCAAGCCCGGGGUAAUUUUUGUAUUUUUAGUAGAUGGGGUUUCACUAUGUUGGCUAGGCUGGUCUUGAACUCCUGACCUCAAGUGAUCCGCCCACCUCAGCCUCCCAAAGUGCUGGGAUUACAGGGAUGAGCCACUGCUCUGGGCUGCCCCAUUGUUUUAAUUUGCUGGAGGUUUUUGGGUUUUGGGGGGGAUUUUUUUUGGAGGGAGUUAUUUGUGGUUUGUUUUUUGUUUUUGUUUUUUAAAAAGGAAGGCAUUUAUUUAUUUAUUUAUGAGACAGAGUCUCACUCUGUCGCCCAGGCUGGAGUGCAGUGGCCAUCUCAGCUCACUGCAACCUCCGCCUCCUGGGUUCAAGCAGUUCUCCUGCCUCAGCCUCCCAAGUAGCUGGGAUUAUAGGCACCUGCCACCAUGCCUGGCUAAAUUUUGUAUUUUUAGUAGAGACAGGGUUUCAUCAUGUUGGCCAGGUUGGUCUCGAACUCCUGACCUCAAGUGAUCUGCCUGCCUCAGCCUCCCAAAGUGUUGGGAAUACAGGUGUGAGCCAUCAUGCCUGGACUUUGCUGGAGGUUUAAACAUUUAUUUUGAAUUGUCACAUGAUGUUAAAGAGGACAUGACUUUUAUGUUUUACAAAGGGAGAUGUAAUGUACGGCAAGGCGCAGUGGCUCAUGCCUGUAAUCCCAGCUCUUUGGGAGGCCGAGGCAGGCAGAUCACUUGAGGUCAGGAGUUCGAGACCAGCCUGGCUGACAUGGCAAAACCCUGUCUCUACCAAAAAAUACAAAAAUUAGCCGAGCGUGGUGGCGGGUGCCUGAAGUCCCAGCUGCUCAGGAGACUGAGGUGGGAGAAUCGCCUGACCCUAGGAGGCAGAGGUUGCAGUGAGCCAAGAUCGUACCACUGCACUCCAGCCUGGGCAACAGAAUGAGACCCUAUCUCAAAAAAAAGUGGGGGUUGGGGGAGAGAUGUGCUAAUGUUUUUUAAAAGGCUGAUAAAUCUUGUGCUUGGUCCUGCUUUGGCACAAGAGACACCAUGUUGCACCCUCUGUGGGUCCCUUCCCCUUCCUUGGCAUACAUGCCAGCCCUGUGAUUCUCAGUGUGGCACCCUGUCCGCAAGGCCAUGCCCAGCUCCUAAGCUGAGAGGGUUCUCUGCUGGGCCCUCUGCCACCACUCAUGCCCCAGCCUCCCACCCCAUGAAGGGAGAGAGUUCCACACAGAGGCACCCUCAUAUAAAAAGAACAACAACAAAUUGAUCCCUGCCUCUCCAGCCCCUGCCUGCUGGCUUCACUGUCCCACUCCCUGUUCUUCCACCAUCCCUAUCUCUCCUCUGUGGGCCCCUGUUCAGCGGGCACUGGGGAAACCAGAGGAGCCUUAUAGUUCUGCCAAGGCACCAUGUUGACUCAUGAGGCAGACCCUCAGGUGUACACAGGUUACAGUUGGGGGUGACUUCUGGCUGAGGUGAUCAGAGACAGGGCCUUUCAGGGCAAGAGGGAAGGAUCUGAUGGGCCUGAAAGGCAGGCGUUCCAGGUGGCUGGAGCCUCCCUGCAAAGGCCCAGCCGCAGGAAGAGCACAGCACAUUCCCAUCCCUGCUCCGCGUUCAGGGUUCUGGCACGGCCUUUCCCUGUGGAUAUGGGAAACGCAGUGGGACAGCAGUAGGCCCUUGCGAGGACUCCCGGGGAGCCAGAAGCAUCUGGGUGAAUAUUCCUGGGCAAGAGAGCUGCUUGACAUCCUGCCACAGAGGAGAUCAGGGAAAAUGCCGCGAGGGCCUCAUCCAUCUCACUCACAGUGGCUUCCCCAGUACCUGGCACCUAGUAGAUACUCAAAAAAUAGUCAUUGAAUGAAUGGAAGUCUCCCUAAGAAGAAAUGGUACUUUAUAAAGGCACUGGCUGUCCUUGAAGGGACCAGCUGGCCUCAUUCCCUGAUACUGAGAAUGUCCUGGUCCCAGGGCAAUGAAAAAUAUCCACCCUCGAGUGAAAAGGGUGGGAUUAUGGGGGAGCUGUUUUCACUUUCCAAGCUAUACAUUUUGUAUUGAUGUAACCUGGACAACUGGCAUGCUUCGCUUUUAUAAUCAAAUGAUACAGGAAAUCUAUACACACACAACUCAGGACCUCAAAUGGCUGCAUGGGUGACUUGCCCCUGUGGCUUGUCCUAAAAGGAAGACAGAAUCAUAGACUUAGGUCGAAGCUUGGAGGGCAUCCUGACCCCCCCCAACCUCAAUCCAGCAUCUGCCUGGAUGGGAUGCCUCUUUGCUGAAGGCAACUUUUUGUUUGUGUGGUUCAAGACUAGAAAUCAUGGCUGAGAAUUAAUUGUUACUGGAUAAACAAGAAUGGUUUGGCCCCCCCGGGGAAUGUGGUGGCUCUUGAAUCCAGCAAACAAUAGAUCAGAGCAGAACUCUGUGUCCUGGGGGAAAACAGAAGUGGGAGAGAGAAGAUCAUUAGCUCCCCUGGUGCUGGGCACCAGGAGAGCCCUGUCUGGGGCCUGAAAGCAGAGCUUGAGACCCGGCCUGCAUGCAGGUGGUUCAACUGGGGAAGUGAUUCCAGGGAAACAGAGCAGGAGCCUGGGAAGCUCAAAACAGAGAAGGCAGGAAAGCCGGUAAAUAUGAGGGUUUGUGACGGAGUUGGCCACUGGUGUGGGAGGGGGCCUUGAUCCUGCUGGGACCCUCUGAUGAGCCUUGCAGAAGGCACCUCAGAGCUUUCCACUGGAGGGCUGGCAAAGGUGGGUGUUCGUCCUCCUUUCAUCCUUCCCUGUUGGUUAAGGGUUGCCAGUUGGGGUAUUCUCUCCCUGGCUCUUGUGCAAAGGAGGCUAAGCAGUGAGCGGACUGGGCAGGAAACGAGGGAUCCUCAGUGCAGAUACCUGGCAAGGUGCUGCUGGGGUGUGCCUGCAGCAGUAACGGGAGUGGAGAGGGGGACCGGGGGGAUGUGGCAUGUGAUACUCAAGCAUCCUGUGCAGGGCCCACACCCCUCAUCCAUUCCUGCUGGCUCAGAGGCUCAGCAGUUUGGAUCCUGUCACCUGGAGGAGAGGUGUGUGGUACCCUAGGGAAAGCUGGCUCCCUGGAAUCAGAGAGCUCAGUUUUGAGCAUGGCCUUGAUGAGAGCUGAGCACCUCGGACCAAUUACUCAGCCCCCACAAGCCUGUGUCUCUGUGGUGCAGUGACAGCACUAACCCUUAGUCAGGAUCCUUGUCAGGAAGUAGGGGAUUCAUGGGACCAACAUGGUGGGCAGAUCUCAACAAAUCAACUGGAGUUACCAUUAUCUCACAGCAGACAGCUGAGCAGCCGUGAGCACUUCUGCCCCAGCAUGGCCUGCACAGCUGGCUGGCUGCCUGCCCCCAGUCCCCUCCAUGGCUGCAUCUGGGGCCCCGCGACUCCAGCGCAGUCUUCCUCUAACAGUAUCGACAGCACUGGCCCAUCUGACCCUGUGUCCUCCCUUCUUUGUCUCUGUCCCUGGUCUCUCCCUUCUGCCCCGUGUUGGAGCCUCCCUGACUCUCACAGGGUCACUCCUUGGGCACUGUGGAUGGGUGUAAGAGCGUGUGUGUAGGGCUGUGAAUGUGAGGAGGGGUGUGAGGAAUGUGUGUGGGUGUGAGAGUGGGGAGUGUGUGUGUGUGAGAACGUUCCUUCACAUUUGUGUGUAUGAGUGGAUAUGUGAGUGUGCAUGUCUGAGAAUGUACGUUCAUGUUGGCAUGUGUGUGAGAAUUGUACCUUCAUGUUUGUGUGUGAGCGCGUGUGUGAGAACAUAUGUUCGUGUUUGUGUGUGGGGGUGUAAAUGUGCAUGUGAAAAUGUGCGUUUGCAUUUGUGUGUGAAUGGGUAUGUGAGUGCGAGUGUGUGAGAAUGUUGCUUCAUGUUUGUGUGUGUGUGGGUGUGUGUGAUUGUGUGCGUGUGAGAAUGUACCUUCGUGUUUGUGUGUGCGAGUGGGUAUGUGAGCAUGAUUGUGUGAGAAUGUACUUCACGUUUGUGUGUGUGGGUGGGUGUGAUUGUGUAUGUGUGAGAGAAUGUACCUUCAUGUUUGUGUGAGUGUAAGUGGGUGUGUGUGUGUGAGAACGUACCUUCAUGUUCCUGUGUGUUGGUGUGUGUGAUUGUGUGUGAGAACGUACUUCACGUUUGUGUGGGUGUGUGUGAUUGUGUGAGAACGUACCUUCAUGUUACUGUGUGUGUGUGAUUGUGUGUAUGAGAAUGUACCUUCACGUUUGUGUGAGUGGGUGUGUGAGUGUGAUUGUGUGUGAGAAUAUACCUCCACGUUUGUGUGUGAAUGAGUGUGUGAUUGUGAGAACGUACCUUCGUGCGUGAGUGGGUAUGUGUGGUUGUGUGUAUGUACUUUCACAUUUGUGAGUGUGAAUGGGUGUGUGUGAUUGGGUGUAAGAAUGUACCUUCAUGUUUGUGUGUGUGAGUGGGUGUGUGAGCGUGACUAUGUGUGAGACGUACCUUCACGUUUGUGUGUGAAUGUGAGUGGGUAUGAUUGUGAGUUUGUGAGAACACACCUUUGCGUUUGUGUGUGAUUCUGAGUGGUUGUGUGAGAUUGUGAGAACGUACCUUCAUGUUUGUGUGUGAGUGGGUGUGUGUGAUUGUGAGAACCUACCUUCACGUUUGUGAGUGUGUAUGAUUGUGAGUGUGUGAAAACGAACCUUCACGUGUGUGUGUAAGUGUGCAUGCAUGUGCCUGGGUUGCAUCAUCCGUCCUGGUGGGUGCCCGCCUCACCUCUUCCCUCUCCUCUCCUCGAUCGGUGCCAUCCACACAGGACGUGGGCUCUGCUGGCUGCCCUCGGGUGCUGUUUCUAGGCCCCUGACGCAGGCAGAGGGAAGCGGGCUGAGGAUGCGCAGUGAAGACAUCCAGGCACCCAGGCUGGUGCUGGGCUUGGUUCCGGGUCUUUGCCCCUUGGCAGGUGUGAGCGUCUCCUUGGGAGCAAGGACCAGGGUCCCUGGUUCCUCCUGCCCAGUAUUUGAAACAGAGUGGCUAUUCCACAGUCUGUCAUUGAAAUAAUGUCACCGGCACACUAGCCACAGUGCCAGUAACACCCAUGGGCCCGAUCCCCAGACAGCGGCAGCAGCUCCCCUUCCUGCGCCCCGCCCUGCAGGCACCGCGCGCUGCCUUCUUCCCUUUGGUUUCCGCGG